CCCUCCCCCCUCUCCUGAUGGCAGGUGCCUGGAGAUUUGAGUCAAACUUCUGAAGACCAGAGUUUAUCGGAUUUUGAAAUAUCAAACCGAGCUCUGAUCAACGUCUGGAUCCCAUCAGUGUUUCUCCGAGGCAAAGCUGCCAACGCCUUCCAUGUGUAUCAGGUCUACAUCCGGAUAAAAGACGAUGAGUGGAAUGUCUAUCGGCGGUAUGCAGAGUUCAGGAGUUUGCACCACAAGUUACAGAACAAAUACCCUCAAGUGAGGGCCUUCAACUUCCCACCCAAGAAGGCCAUUGGAAACAAGGAUGCCAAGUUUGUGGAGGAACGCAGGAAGCAGCUGCAGACCUACCUGCGCAACGUCAUGAACAAAGUCAUCCAGGCAGUCCCUGAGUUUACCGCCAGCCCCCAGAAGGAGACCCUGACCCAGCUGAUGCCCUU